ensembl:snoRNA
GAGGCCCUGAAUCAAGGCCAGUAGCUUGUUGUAGCUACUGGCUUCAAACUGUGGCCCAAAGCAAACUCUUCCAAUGGUCUGUUGGCUUUCCCAUUUAAUCCAAAAAAUCUAUUCAUUUGGAAGUAACAAUU